rnacentral:rRNA from 1 species
GAGUUUGAUCCUGGCUCAGGAUGAACGCUGGCGGCGUGCUUAACACAUGCGAGUCGAACGAACCUUCGGGUUAGUGGCGGACGGGUGAGUAACGCGUGGGAAUCUGCCCUCAGGAGGGGGAUAACGGCUGGAAACGGCCGCUAAUACCCCAUAUGCCGAGAGGUGAAAUGAAUUUCGCCUGAGGAUGAGCCCGCGUCUGAUUAGCUAGUUGGUGAGGUAAGAGCUCACCAAGGCAUCGAUCAGUAGCUGGUCUGAGAGGAUGAUCAGCCACACUGGGACUGAGACACGGCCCAGACUCCUACGGGAGGCAGCAGUGGGGAAUUUUCCGCAAUGGGCGAAAGCCUGACGGAGCAACGCCGCGUGAGGGAUGAAGGCCUCUGGGCUGUAAACCUCUUUUCUCAGGGAAGAAGAUCUGACGGUACUUGAGGAAUAAGCCACGGCUAAUUCCGUGCCAGCAGCCGCGGUAAUACGGGAGUGGCAAGCGUUAUCCGGAAUUAUUGGGCGUAAAGCGUCCGCAGGCGGCUCUUCAAGUCUGCUGUUAAAAAGUGGAGCUUAACUCCAUCAUGGCAGUGGAAACUGUUGGGCUUGAGUGUGGUAGGGGCAGAGGGAAUUCCCGGUGUAGCGGUGAAAUGCGUAGAUAUCGGGAAGAACACCAGUGGCGAAGGCGCUCUGCUGGGCCAUAACUGACGCUCAUGGACGAAAGCCAGGGGAGCGAAAGGGAUUAGAUACCCCCGUAGUCCUGGCCGUAAACGAUGAACACUAGGUGUCGGGGGAAUCGACCCCCUCGGUGUCGUAGCCAACGCGUUAAGUGUUCCGCCUGGGGAGUACGCACGCAAGUGUGAAACUCAAAGGAAUUGACGGGGGCCCGCACAAGCGGUGGAGUAUGUGGGUUUAAUUCGAUGCAACGCGAAGAACCUUACCAGGGUUUGACAUCCUGCGAACCUCUUGGAAACGAGAGGGUGCCUUCGGGAACGCAGUGACAGGUGGUGCAUGGCUGUCGUCAGCUCGUGUCGUGAGAUGUUGGGUUAAGCCCCGCAACGAGCGCAACCCACGUCUUUAGUUGCCAGCAUUUAGUUGGGCACUCUAGAGAGACCGCCGGUGAUAAACCGGAGGAAGGUGUGGAUGACGUCAAGUCAUCAUGCCCCUUACAUCCUGGGCUACACACGUACUACAAUGCUACGGACAAAGAGCAGCAAGUUCGCGAGGACAAGCAAAUCUCAUAAACCGUGGCUCAGUUCAGAUCGUAGGCUGCAACUCGCCUACGUGAAGGAGGAAUCGCUAGUAAUCGCAGGUCAGCAUACUGCGGUGAAUACGUUCCCGGGCCUUGUACACACCGCCCGUCACACCAUGGAAGUUGGCCACGCCCGAAGCCGUUACUCCAACCCUCGGGAGGAGGACGUCGAAGGUGGGGCUGAUGACUGGGGUGAAGUCGUAACAAGGUAACCGUA